rnacentral:rRNA from 1 species
UACGUAGGGUGCGAGCGUUAAUCGGAAUUACUGGGCGUAAAGUGUGCGCAGGCGGCCGAGCAAGUCGAGUGUGAAAGCCCCGAGCUUAACUUGGGAACUGCGCUCGAAACUACUUGGCUAGAGUGUGGCAGAGGGAGGUGGAAUUCCACGUGUAGCGGUGAAAUGCGUAGAGAUAUGGAGGAACACCAGUGGCGAAGGCGACUUUCUGGUCUGUAACUGACACUGAGGCGCGAAAGCGUGGGGAGCAAACAGG